GAUGAAGAACGCAGCGAAAUGCGAUAAGUAAUGUGAAUUGCAGAAUUCGGUGAAUCAUCGAAUCUUUGAACGCACAUUGCGCCCCUUGGUAUUCCGAGGGGCAUGCCUGUUCGAGCGUCAUUAUAACCCCUCAAGCUCAGCUUGGUGUUGGGGCCUGCUGCACUGGCAGCCCUUAAAAUCAGUGGCGGCGCCAUCUGGCUCUAAGCGUAGUAAUUCUUCUCGCUAUGGAGUCCUGGUGGAUGCUUGCCAUCAACCCCCAAUUUUUCUAUGGUUGACCUCGGAUCAGGUAGGGAUACCCGCUGAACUUAAGCAUAUCAAUAAGCGGAGGA
rnacentral:misc_RNA from 1 species